UUUUGUGCAGUGUUUAGUAACCCAUAUUAUCAAACCAAACCAAUUAGCAAUCUAAUCAUUAUGCCACGUUCUAGAUUAUCCGAUGAACAAGGAGAAAUUAUACGAGAAGAGCGCCGCUUUAGUAUUCAACGAGGAAGGGCAUUAAUUCGUGCUUCUCAAACACAAGAGCACAGAGGACAGCCUAAGAAACGGCUAGGUUAGAAACGAGGAAUCGUCGAGCCUAUCGUACAGAUGGGCAUAGGAUUAUUCUUCAAAGUGCAAGAAGAAAUGGUUCAAGAAUAGAUUUGAGUCGGGCAGACUUUCUAUAUGAUUGCACCAUCGACUACAGCUUGCAUCGAUUAGUUUGUUUACUGGUAAAACAACUGGUUUGUGCCGCCUUAGUGGGCGAAAUACUAGAAAUAUGACAUUUUCUAGCGAACACUUCAAAAUACAAUGUCUGCUUCCAAGUGACUUCAAUUGGGGCUGAAAUUAUCGAAGAACAUGUUAUAAUCCAACAUUUAAGGUAAUUUACGUUAAAAAAAAAUUGUUUGUAAGAUACAAGAUUUGCAGUUGUGAUCAGAGCAGAUAAAAGACUUGCUAGAACACAUGAACGCACAUUUAAUGAUCCAACAAUGGAUGAAGUGGAAAUGUUUAUUGUUGGUGACGUUCAUAUGACGCGUUUCAAUACCCGCUGAUGUUCUGGCAAGGUGACGAUGAAUAUAACUUUAAUAUCAAAAUGAAAAAUUUAUUGAAUGGUAAGAUCAAUGCCGUUAACGUAUUAGGUGUUCUAAAAUACAAUUUUUAUCAAAUUUGUAAGGGUAACAAAGGGUUAGGAAACUACCAAGAAGGUUAGGUCGAUGAAAUACUACGCAUACCGUUUGCUGAUUCGUAA